CAAAGGUAGCGUAAUCACUUGUCUUAUAAAUAAAGACCUGUAUGAAUGGCUAAAUGAGUAUUAAACUGUCUCCUUCAACCAAUCAGUGAAACUGAUCUUUCAGUACAAAAGCUGAAAUUUACACAUAAGACGAGAAGACCCUGUGGAGCUUUAAAUCUUAACCAAGUAGUGCACAAAGUACAGUUAUGGUUAAAAAUUUUUAGUUGGGGCGACUUUGGAGAAAAACAUAACCUCCAAGAAAAGGUGCCACCUAAACAAGGCCCACAAGCCAAGCCCCUUUGACCCAGAACUUCUGAUUAACGAACCAAGCUACCCCAGGGAUAACAGCGCCAUCUUCUUCAAGAGUUCAUAUCGACAAGAAGGUUUACGACCUCGAUGUUGGAUCAGGACACCCAAAUGGUGCAGCCGCUAUUAAAGGUUCGUUUGUUCAACGAUUAAUAGU
rnacentral:rRNA from 1 species